ensembl:lncRNA
GUCACACCUGUACCUUAACUGUACAUUCUGGGCUUAGUAGGUUGAUUCACUCAAGUACUUUGAAAACUAUUAAAGAUCUCUGAACUGAGUCACUGGCUGCUGGUACAAUCAGGACAGAAGUUGUCACUGAUGGAUUCCAGAAGGAGUCUCUGUCACCAUGAAGAAAAGAACAUGCCUGGGUUGCCCACAGGAACCAGGAGAAGGAUGGGAGACAGGUGAACAGACAGAGGCUCCCUGACCAAGUCCAGCCUAGAUGUCAAGACAGCUGCAGACAUGGCACCUCUGUCAUAGGAUCCCCACUGCCAAUGGGUCUGUGAAAGAAGAGGCAGUUCUUACAUCCCACAUAUAUACAGAUGAUUCCAGAAGCAGAAUGAAGGUGACUCAGCACUUUACAAUCAUUUGCUGGAAGUGAUUCUAACAGAGGUCGUGUGUCCAACAGAGGUUAGUCCCAGAAUUGGGGUCACCAAGUACCCUAGCUCAUUCAUCAGGAGAAACAGCCUGGACUACCCUGCUGAAUAAAGAGUGGCAUAAGGUAUAGUCACCUCUGUCAACCUGGACAAGAGCUGGCCAUCUGCCAGACAUGGGAGCACAGUUAUCCUUCAUUAUUCAGCUACUAGCUCACCUGCCAGGUGAUGACAAAUGCUUGAGGGAUCCCAGGAAAGAUCAGUCAAACCAACUUAGCCCUGGAAUGCCACUCAACUGACCCACAGAAUUACGCGCUAAAUACAUGCUGCUUGUUUUAAGCUCUAACAUUUUGCAAUAGUUUCUUAUGCAACAUAAUACAGGCUAAUAUAGAACCUAAGCAGCACAUUCCCCUGUUUGCCAC